GACGAACGCUGGCGGCGUGCUUAACACAUGCAAGUCGAGCGGAAAGGCCACUUCGGUGGUACUCGAGCGGCGAACGGGUGAGUAACACGUGAGUAAUCUGCCCCUGGCUUUGGGAUAGCCACCGGAAACGGUGAUUAAUACCGGAUACGACCACUUCUCGCAUGGGAUGGUGGUGGAAAGUUUUUUCGGCCAGGGAUGUGCCCGCGGCCUAUCAGCUUGAUGGUGAGGUAAUGGCUCACCAUGGCUUCGACGGGUAGCCGGCCUGAGAGGGUGACCGGUCACACGGGGACUGAGAGACGGCCCAGACUCCUACGGGUGGCAGCAGUGGGGAAUAUUGGACAAUGGGCGGGAGCCUGAUCCAGCAACGCCGCGUGAGGGAUGACGGCCUUCGGGUUGUAAACCUCUUUCAGCAGGGACGAAGCGCAAGUGACGGUACCUGCAGAAGAAGCACCGGCCAACUACGUGCCAGCCGCCGCCGUAA
rnacentral:rRNA from 1 species